UACGUAGGGGGCGAGCGUUGUCCGGAAUCAUUGGGCGUAAAGCGCGUGUAGGCGGUCCGGUAAGUCCGCUGUGAAAGUCGGGGGCUCAACCCUCGAAUGCCGGUGGAUACUGUCGGGCUAGAGUGCGGAAGAGGCGAGUGGAAUUCCUGGUGUAGCGGUGAAAUGCGCAGAUAUCAGGAGGAACACCAAUUGCGAAGGCAGCUCGCUGGGACGUUACUGACGCUGAGACGCGAAAGCGUGGGGAGUAAACAGG
rnacentral:rRNA from 1 species